CCUACGGGUGGCAGCAGUGGGGAAUAUUGCACAAUGGGGGAAACCCUGAUGCAGCGACGCCGCGUGAGUGAAGAAGUAUUUCGGUAUGUAAAGCUCUAUCAGCAGGGAAGAAAAUGACGGUACCUGAUUAAGAAGCCCCGGCUAACUACGUGCCAGCAGCCGCGGUCAUACGUAGGGGGCAGGCGUUUUCCGGAUUUACUGGGUGGAAAGGGAGCGUAGACGGCAGCGCAAGUCUGAAGGGAAAUGCCGGGGCUUAACCCCGGGACUGCUUUGGAGACUGUGCAGCUAGAGUGCGGGAGAGGUAAGUGGAAUUCCUAGUGUAGCGGUGAAAUGCGUAGAUAUUAGGAGGAACACCAGUGGCGAAGGCGGCUUACUGGACUGUAACUGACGUUGAGGCUCGAAAGCGUGGGGAGCAAACAGGAUUAGAUACCCUUGUAGUC
rnacentral:rRNA from 1 species